rnacentral:rRNA from 1 species
CCUACGGGAGGCAGCAGUGGGGAAUAUUGGGCAAUGGGCGCAAGCCUGACCCAGCAACGCCGCGUGAAGGAAGAAGGCUUUCGGGUUGUAAACUUCUUUUGACAGGGAAGAGGAGAAGACGGUACCUGUCGAAUAAGCCACGGCUAACUACGUGCCAGCAGACGCGGUAAUACGUAGGUGGCAAGCGUUGUCCGGAUUUACUGGGUGGAAAGGGCGUGUAGCCGGGCUGACAAGUCAGAUGUGAAAUCCGGGGGCUCAACCCCCGAACUGCAUUUGAAAAUGUUGGUCUUGAGUAUCGGAGAGGCAGGCGGAAUUCCUGGUGUAGCGGUGAAAUGCGUAGAUAUAAGGAGGAACACCAGUGGCGAAGGCGGCCUGCUGGACGACAACUGACGGUGAGGCGCGAAAGCGUGGGGAGCAAACAGGAUUAGAUACCCUAGUAGUC